rnacentral:lncRNA from 10 species
CUUGAGGGAAGUAGGGCCCUGUCCUUGACCACUUACCAGGGCCUGUCCCUCAUUCACCCGACCCAACUUUGCUGGGGGGUGUGAGGUGGGGUAAUUUAUUCAGUUCUAACCAGGAAAGGUAAAAUUAUAACAGGAUUAAUAACACAAGUGUCAUGGCCUUCCAAGGGCCCCAAGACGAUCCCAUCCCCCUUCCCUGCUCAGAACCUGCCUGUCCUGCACCCUGGCCUGUCCUCUGGAGGUUAUCUGAUGAGGGCCUAUUCUGAGGAGGCACCUCCCAGUGCACCCCCUUCCCCCACUACCCCCACUGGCUGCCCUCUGAGACCCCAGCAGUCUGGGCAGAGCAGGUCUCAAGUUCUAGGAAAGGAUCCUAAGCAAAUGCUGCCAAGAGCUGCAGUUCUUGGAACCAGCACUGCAGGGCGAGGGGACACUUCCUGGAACCUGCUGGCCCUUCCAGGGAGUGAGGCUCAGAGGACAGCCAGUGACCUGGGGUAAGUGGGGGGAGAGGGUACUGAGCCCUUAGCUUCGGUCUCUGCCUCCAGGAAGCCCUCCCUGACUGCAGGUGCCUCCUUAGACUCCUCCAUCCCGGUGCUGGAUCUGGCAUGACCUCUGAAGUGCCCGGUGUCCAGCCUGGCAGAGUGGACGACGAGAAACAGGUCAGGGGGCCCAGGCCCCAGCUUCAGCAUCAAGCCACCCAGGACAUGCAUCUGGCCUUUUGGAAAAUAGCCUGGAGAAUGCAGAGGAGAGGCUGCAGUCAGGCUGGCUGUGGCUGGAAAGAACCUGCUGUGGAUGAAGUUGACCUGGGACCCACGUGACCUGAGUGAAAAGAGCUAUGGGUUUGCAGGGGACACCGGUGCCCUGCUGCAGGUGGUUCUAGAGCUAGGUAUCCUGCAUCGUGACUUGAGCAAGUCAUGAACCCACUCUGAGCCUCAGUUUCCCACUCUGUUUUUGGUGUUUGGUUUGGUUUGGUUUUGAGACAGGGUCUCACCCUGUUGCCCAGGCUGGAGUCCAGUGGCACAAUCUCGGCUCACUGCAGCCUCUACCUCCUGAGCUCAAGCGAUCCUCCCACCUCAGUCUCCCAAGUAGCUGAGACUACAGGUGUGUGCCACCACACCCCACUAAUUUUUUGUACAGAUCUAGUUUCACCAUGUUGCCCAGGCUGGUCUGAACUCCUGGGCUCAAGCAAUUCUCCUCCCUCGGCCUCCCAAAGCACUGGGAUUACAGGCGUGAGCCACUGCACCGGGCCUCCACCUCUACUUUGGGGACAAUGUUAUCACUUGCCUUAUGGAAUCGUUGUAAGGAGGAAAUGUGUAGACUUGGUGAUUUUUGUUUCUCCUCGGAGUCUUCCCCUGGAUCCCAACUCACCCCUCCAGCUCCCACUUCACCAUGAGCCCAUGGAGACAUGAGCCCCAGAAGAGCUCUUUCUCUGGUCUCUAUUGCAGCAAGAAGUACCUGUGGGCACACUGGAGCAUAGGCCUUGAUGUUUGCAGUGCUCCAGGCAAAAGGACAAGUGGAGGCUCACAUACCAGAAUCUAAAUAUUAAACAACCAUAAAUCAAGCUGCUAAUGAAAUGUGUUCUAUCCUCCUACUGAACAAAUAAGCUUUCAUAGGAGUAAAAACAUCUGUAAAUCUACAGUUUUUAUAUAUCUGAAAGUCAGCAGAUAUCCAAAAUGAUGAAACUUAGUAAUUAUCACUCAUGUCCAGGUGUUCAGUGACCUGAGGUUUAAGUGAGAGAAUGAAGACUUGCCUGAUGCCUAAGAUAUUCUGUAUUUAUUCUGUAACAUUGAUUCUCCUCGUCUUUAGUCUAGUAAAAUGAUUGAUUAUGUUGUUACAGUCAAGACUUCUACACUAUUACUGUUCUUUUCAUAGUAAUGAUUAAAAAGAUUAAAAUAAGGCUGGGCAUGGUGGCUCACACAUGUAAUCCCAGAGCUUUGAGAAACCAAAGUGACAGGAUUGCUUGAGGCAGGAGUUCAAGUUUACAGUAAGCUAUGACUAUACUACUGUACUCCAGACUGGGCAACAGAGCAAGACCCUGUCUAUAAAAAAAAUAAUAAUUUUUAAAAAGACUAAAAUAAAAUAUUGGCCAGGUGUGGUGGCUCACACCUGU